AUGACCUCAAGUUGUUCCAGGUGCAGACUACUUUCAUACAGUUCAGCCUCCAUGGCUCCUUGACCUGGGAGUGCAGAAGAAUUGAAUGCAGAAGGCAGAACUCCUUCUCCCACACACAGCCUUAUGCGAACAUCAUGGCUCAACUGCUUCUAGACUCAGGAUGGCAAGAGUGUUGUACUCUGUAGCAUUCUCAGUUACCCUUCGCUGCUAGAUGCUCU
rnacentral:lncRNA from 1 species